AUGCAUUUGGAGUUGGCCGCACUAUUUUCGCGGCAAAAUCACUCUGUCAACCCGAUCCUCUUCCAUCCCACCGCUCCCCACCCCAAUUCCCGCCUUUUUUCGCAGCCACCGCAACAUGGAGGACCAGUACAAAAAGCUGCUGGAGAGAUCGAGGAUCCGGUGAAGGCGGCCGCCCACAAGAUCAACUUGGUGACUAAGCAAGAUCGCUGGCUCAGAAGUCAAAGGUGGCGCCACUCAAGAAGCAGAAGGCUGGCGGAGGUGGUGGUCGUGGCGGGGACAUGCAGGGGCGGUUGUGGUGCAGGGUGGGGCUAG
rnacentral:rRNA from 1 species